AGUAACGGCGAGUGAACGGAGAUUAGCCCAGCACCGAAGCCUGUUCAUGUAUGUGGACAAGGCAAUGUGGUGUUUAGACAUGCAUCUUGGAUGGCUCGGCUGCUCGAAGGCCAACUCCGAUUAUGGCUUUGGAUUUGUCCCAUAGAGGGUGAAAGGCCCGUUCGAGUAGGCAUUGCUCUUUUGAGCUGUCUUUAGAUAUGCGUGUUCUAGAGUCGGAUUGCUUGAGAAUGCAGUCCAAAGUGGGUGGUAAACUCCAUCCAAGGCUAAAUACUGGCACGAGUCCGAUAGUAGACAAGUACCGUGAGGGAAAGUUGAAAAGUACUCUGAAGAGAGAGUAAAUAGUACGUGAAGCCGACUGAAUCGAAGCUGGUGGAGUCAAGCUUCUAGCUUGCAGAAUUGACGCGGAGACCUUGCUGGUUAAGGAGUCUAGCUGGGCUAGCUUUUAAAUAGCUGGGUACCUUGGUACUUCAUGUUAUCUGGGCUGGUUGCAUUUGUCUCGCUGUGAACUCCGGUCUCUUGUGUUAUUUCUUCUUGCUUGUAUCACGGUCAAUGUUCUUGUGGUGUGAGUAUGUCUAACCGAGUUAUAGUGUGCAUUCUGCUUGCUUGACUCGGGAUGGCAGGUGAUGACCCUUGAGCUUUGCUUAAUGGUCAUGUAUACUGGUUUCGACCUGCUGAUGUACACACUGCUAAUACUAUCAAGUUCAUUGCUUCUAUAUCGGCAGUAUCCUUAUUAAGUUUCUGUCGUGAGAGCCGUGGUUUUGAAGUAGAUUUUCCACCGGACCCGUCUUGAAACACGGACCAAGGAGUUUAACUUGAUCGCGAGUCAUUGGAUUCUUAUGAAAUCCGAAGGCGCAAUGAAAGUGAACGGUUGCAUUUGUAGCCGAAGGUGUGAUCUUGGUUUACCUUGACUAAG
rnacentral:rRNA from 1 species